GAUGAACGCUGGCGGCGUGCCUAAUACAUGCAAGUCGAGCGAACAGACGAGGAGCUUGCUCCUCUGACGUUAGCGGCGGACGGGUGAGUAACACGUGGAUAACCUACCUAUAAGACUGGGAUAACUUCGGGAAACCGGAGCUAAUACCGGAUAAUAUAUUGAACCGCAUGGUUCAAUAGUUAAAGACGGUUUUGCUGUCACUUAUAGAUGGAUCCGCGCCGCAUUAGCUAGUUGGUAAGGUAACGGCUUACCAAGGCAACGAUGCGUAGCCGACCUGAGAGGGUGAUCGGCCACACUGGAACUGAGACACGGUCCAGACUCCUACGGGAGGCAGCAGUAGGGAAUAUUCCGCAAUGGGCGAAAGCUUGACGGAGCAACGCCGCGUGAGUGAUGAAGGUCUUCGGAUCGUAAAACUCUGUUAUUAGGGAAGAACAAAUGUGUAAGUAACUAUGCACGUCUUGACGGUACCUAAUCAGAAAGCCACGGCUAACUACGUG
rnacentral:rRNA from 1 species